UUCAAUACAACUGUUGUAAUGCGACUAGUUGAUUCUACACUUUAUCAAGACAAGUAUUCACAUUCAGGUCAGGACAACAUUCCCUUCAAAACAACACUAUGGCUUCACUCAUGGUAGCAUUGGAACUCUGUUCUUCUUCUUUCUUAUCUUCUCAAGAGUAGUUUGUGACUGAGCCAUCGGUAGCCAUCCAGAUUCUGAGUUUCCAAUGUCUGUAGCCACCUUCUCUCGGUAAUUAGCGAAUUCCUGUGACGGUGCAACAUUGUUGGUUUAGUUCGCUAUAAGAUGAUAGAUGUGUCCAGAUGAGGUUAUGAAGCUAUAACAGAAAUUGGAUGGCAAGGAAAAAAUUGAGUUAGAAUAAAACAACAAGUUUCAGAAGCCAUAGUUAAUGAGAUAUAUAGGCCAUGUGUCCCAGAUUACACAGGCCAAUGAGCUACUGUACUGUUAUUUCAAAUUUUGUUGUAAUCAGUCCUUCCGAGUGUUGAACAAUCCUUUUGAUUUUUUUUUAUAUGUUCAUGUGUAACAGACAUGUAGGCCUUCAAAUUAUAAAUGCUUCAGUUUUAUCUGCCUUACUUUUUUUUCUAAAGCAAAAUAACAGAUUAUGUUAGGCUAUAUGUAAUCUAUAAAAGUAAAUAUGAAGUUAUGUGGAUCCAGUACAUACACAAAAUAUCAGACAUGUAGACCUUCAAAUAUGAAGCAAAUUUACUUGCCAACGUGAGGAUGAAAACAUGCCAGAUCAUCAAUAGAAGGACAAACGAUAUAUUGUGCAAGGCAGCUAUAGUUGAAGGUUAACAGAGAAUUGAGAUAUAAAAUCAAGCCUGGCAACCUGGUUUACCUGGUGCAAACGAGCUCUUUUCUGAACUUCAUGAGCUCAAUGCUUUUUCCACCACGAGCUCCCAAGGCUCUUGCUGCAAAAGGUAACACACCAAGAAUUAACUAUAUGAAAGGCCUAAGAAGAAACUUGAGAUAGUCACGCGAAUCCAACACAAAGUUAGGCACUAUGAUCACACACAAGCGUUUUAAAAACUAAUGGAAUCAAAAAAUUCAUUAGCAGCGUACAAGCAUGAAAUAAAUAAUCAACAUCUGGUGACAUAGACUCAUUUAACUAUACGUACCUAUGCCAUUUUCACUUAUCGAUCUGUAGAAGGAUAUCAGCCUGCAAUACUAUAGGACUGACACUUCCAUUGUUGCCAACAUGAGAGAAGCUACCUGAGCCCAUUACCGAGCAAAUGAAAGAGUUAAAACUCAUUUCACCGUGUAAACCAUUUCUGAUUAUCAUUAGGACGAAAUACUAAUCCCAGAUGCUAGUAAUGCAUGCAGUUCUAGUUGACCAAGGA
rnacentral:lncRNA from 1 species